rnacentral:rRNA from 1 species
UGGGGAAUAUUGCACAAUGGGCGAAAGCCUGAUGCAGCAACGCCGCGUGAGGGACGACGGCCUUCGGGUUGUAAACCUCUUUUAGCAAGGAAGAAGCGAAAGUGACGGUACUUGCAGAAAAAGCGCCGGCUAACUACGUGCCAGCAGCCGCGGUAAUACGUAGGGCGCAAGCGUUAUCCGGAAUUAUUGGGCGUAAAGAGCUCGUAGGCGGUUUGUCGCGUCUGCUGUGAAAACCCGAGGCUCAGCCUCGGGCCUGCAGUGGGUACGGGCAGACUAGAGUGCGGUAGGGGAGAUUGGAACUCCUGGUGUAGCGGUGGAAUGCGCAGAUAUCAGGAAGAACACCGAUGGCGAAGGCAGAUCUCU